CCUACGGGAGGCAGCAGUGGGGAAUAUUGGGCAAUGGACGCAAGUCUGACCCAGCAACGCCGCGUGAAGGAAGAAGGCUUUCGGGUUGUAAACUUCCUUUAAGGGGGAAGAGCAGAAGACGGUACCCCUUGAAUAAGCCACGGCUAAAUAAGUGCCAGCAGCCGCGGUCAUACGUAGGUGGGCAGCGUUGUCCGGAUUUACUGGGUGAAAAGGGCGUGCAGCCGGAGAGACAAGUCAGAUGUGAAAUCCACGGGCUCAACCCGCGAACUGCAGUUGAAACUGUUUCCCUUGAGUGUGGGAGAAGUAAGCGGAAUGCCUGGUGUAGCGGUGAAAUGCGUAGAUAUUAGGAAGAACUCCAGUUGCGAAGGCGGAUUACUGGACGAUAACUGACGGUCAGGCGCGAAAGCGUGGGGAGCGAACAGGAUUAGAUACCCGUGUAGUC
rnacentral:rRNA from 1 species